CACUGCAACUAUGAUUUCACCAGGAUAAUGUACUGCAACAUCAUUGUCAUCUGAAAUCUCUACUCUUGGAAAGAGAUUUCAGCCUUUGAAUUAAGCAGCAGUUCACUCUCAGUGCUACAGGCGAUAAAAGGGAAUAUUCCAGUCCCCGUGUCCAUCACGGCUGCUCUGCCAAGCAGAGUUAACAGGUUUGCCCUGAAGACAGGUGGUCCUGAGCAAUAACUGCCCCCUGCCAGCCUUGCCUGGGUGCCUUCUGUCUCUCUGCU